rnacentral:rRNA from 1 species
CAGUAGCCGCGGUAAUACGGAGGGGGCUAGCGUUGUUCGGAAUUACUGGGCGUAAAGCGCACGUAGGCGGCUUGGUAAGUUAGAGGUGAAAGCCUGGAGCUCAACUCCAGAAUUGCCUUUAAGACUGCCGGGCUAGCAGGUGAGAGAGGUAAGUGGAAUUCCGAGUGUAGAGGUGAAAUUCGUAGAUAUUCGGAAGAACACCAGUGGCGAAGGCGGCUUACUGGCUCAUACUGGACGCUGAGGUGCGAAAGCGUGGGGAGCAAACAGGAUUAGAUACCCCGGUAGUCCCUGUCUCUUAUAA